UACGCUAUCUUCCCUUCCUCCUCUCUUUCCAACAUUCAAGGGUUGGGCGUCUCAUCUUUCCACACGCCCGAGUUGAGGGUGAUCUUUUCUACAGUAAAAAAUAAAGAGAAAGGCUGCAGUUUAAGCAUUGAGAUCGCGAUCAAAGAUCGAGAGUUGAUCAAAGGUUCAAAAGGCUGAGAUUCAUCUAGGAGAAGGCAGAUCUAUAAUGAGAAGAAAGAUU
rnacentral:lncRNA from 1 species